UACGUAGGGGGCAAGCGUUGUCCGGAAUCAUUGGGCGUAAAGCGCGUGUAGGCGGCUAGAUAAGUCUGCUCUGAAAGCCCAGGGCUCAACCCCGGGAGGCGGGUGGAUACUGUCUAGCUCGAGUCCGGAAGAGGAGUGUGGAAUUCCUGGUGUAGCGGUGAAAUGCGCAGAUAUCAGGAGGAACACCAAUGGCGAAGGCAGCACUCUGGGACGUGACUGACGCUGAGACGCGAAAGCGUGGGGAGCGAACGGG
rnacentral:rRNA from 1 species